rnacentral:tRNA from 1 species
UAUCGGUUGGAAGGUUGGUAUCUUAUUAGUUUCCUUAGCUAAUAAAAUUGGUUCGAUUCCAGUAGCCGAAAU